rnacentral:sRNA from 1 species
GUUCUAUGGUCAGAUUGUUGUCUCUUUGACACAUUCCCCAUUUCCAUUCUCAAUUUUAUUAAUGCAUGAACCCCACAUAUUUAUAUAGUUUAGCUUAUGCAUGAACUACACAUAUAUCUAUAAUAAAAUUGAGAAUGGAAAUGGGGAAUGUGUCAAAGAGACAACAACCCGACCAAAUAA